rnacentral:rRNA from 1 species
GAUGAACGCUGGCGGCGUGCCUAAUACAUGCAAGUCGAGCGAACAGACGAGGAGCUUGCUCCUCUGACGUUAGCGGCGGACGGGUGAGUAACACGUGGAUAACCUACCUAUAAGACUGGGAUAACUUCGGGAAACCGGAGCUAAUACCGGAUAAUAUAUUGAACCGCAUGGUUCAAUAGUGAAAGACGGUUUUGCUGUCACUUAUAGAUGGAUCCGCGCCGCAUUAGCUAGUUGGUAAGGUAACGGCUUACCAAGGCAACGAUGCGUAGCCGACCUGAGAGGGUGAUCGGCCACACUGGAACUGAGACACGGUCCAGACUCCUAUGGGAGGCAGCAGUAGGGAAUCUUCCGCAAUGGGCGAAAGCCUGACGGAGCAACGCCGCGUGAGUGAUGAAGGUCUUCGGAUCGUAAAACUCUGUUAUUGGGGAAGAACAAAUGUGUAAGUAACUAUGCACGUCUUGACGGUACCUAAUCAGAAAGCCACGGCUAACUACGUG